ACGACGGCAGCAGUGUCGCGGCGAUGACGGGAGGACACGUGGAGAUCAUCGAUCGAAGGUUCGAUGAAACCCAUGCACUGCUACUACUACAUCUCGUUUCGCUGCAGUGGCGCGAGCUGCUUUGGACGUAGCUGAAUGCUGCUGCAUUUCCCGUUUAAAUGCAAGGACUGGUUUUUCUUUCUAA